UGUGUGAAUCAUGACUCUGAAGAGCAUGA
rnacentral:piRNA from 1 species